UACGUAGGGGGCAAGCGUUGUCCGGAAUCAUUGGGCGUAAAGCGCGCGUAGGCGGCCCGGUAAGUCCGCUGUAAAGGUCCAGGGCUCAACCCUGGAAAGCCGGUGGAUACUGUCGGGCUAGAGUCCGGAAGAGGCGAGUGGAAUUCCUGGUGUAGCGGUGGAAUGCGCAGAUAUCAGGAGGAACACCAAUGGCGAAGGCAGCUCGCUGGGGCGUGACUGACGCUGAGACGCGAAAGCGUGGGGAGCAAACAGG
rnacentral:rRNA from 1 species